GCUUUGUGUAUCAUGCUGGUGGUGAUGGUGUAUGAAAUGGGUGAUAUGAUUUAAGAGCAGGAGAUGGUAGGGAAGGAGUUAAUCUUCUCCCUUUUGCUAGAGGAAGGGCCACAGCUGCCUGAACUGAGCAGGGGGAUUUUCAGGGUAGCCAGCUGUGGGGAUUUAAUUGUUUCACCCGCCAGUCUAUAAAGGGGGGGUACCACAGGGUAGCUCUAAAUCCUGUUGUGAUUCAGGAAGGAGGAGGAGGAGGUAAUUUGGAGGGGGCCUUGCUGAAGCACAUGACAAGGAAGAAGAUGGUACUUGUUCACUUAAGUGGCAAACAAUGUUUGGAAGUGAUGUGGCAGUUGCUGGAGACCUGUAUUUGCUUUUUGGCCAAGGCUUCCAAAGAGGUCACUGACAGCACCUUGCUACACUGCAGUCUCUGGGGUAUGUUUGAAGAUGCAGGGGAGAAAAAAGUAGAACACUUGCAGUAAUUUAUUUUCUCUUCUCAUUUUGUUAAUGAUAUCUUUUUGAAGGCUAUGCAGUAAUUACUGCCCACAGAGGUACACACUGAAAUAAAU
rnacentral:lncRNA from 1 species